GACGAACGCUGGCGGCGUGCUUAACACAUGCAAGUCGAACGGUGAACCGGGCUUCGGUCCGGGGAUCAGUGGCGAACGGGUGCGUAACACGUGGGCAACCUGCCCCAGACUCUGGGAUAACUCCGGGAAACCGGGGCUAAUACCGGAUACUCCGAUCGGAUCUCAUGGUCUGACCGGGAAAGCUCCGACGGUCUGGGAUGGGCCCGCGGCCUAUCAGCUUGUUGGCGAGGUAACGGCUCACCAAGGCGACGACGGGUAGCUGGUCUGAGAGGACGACCAGCCACACUGGAACUGAGAUACGGUCCAGACUCCUACGGGAGGCAGCAGUGGGGAAUCUUGCACAAUGGGCGAAAGCCUGAUGCAGCGACGCCGCGUGGGGAUGAAUGCCUUCGGUUGU
rnacentral:rRNA from 1 species